CGGCGUAAAUAUCCGAUCGCCCCGCAAAUAGCAGGGAGGAAAGUCCGGGCGGCUUCGAAUCAGCAUGACGGCUAACGGCCGUGAUUCCGACUCGUUGGAAUACGGAAAGUGCCACAGAGACAAUACGAUCUCGCUUUUAGCGGGAAAAAGGUGAAAAGUCCUGCCUCAGGCGGGAAGCUCCCGAGUAAUCGGGAUGGCUCGGUAAACCCCAUGUGUCGCAAGGCGGGAUGGGAAUAUUAUCAAUAAACGGAGAUUCGACCGAUUGAUGGUAUUGCCCGCCGCUUGAGUUUUUUUGCAAAAAAGCACGGAAGAGAGAUGAUCGGACGCUUUUUCGAAAGAAAGAGCUGACAGAACCCGGCUUAUCGUUUACGCUGAUAC
rnacentral:RNase_P_RNA from 1 species